rnacentral:rRNA from 1 species
AUUGAACGCUGGCGGCAGGCCUAACACAUGCAAGUCGAACGAGUGGCGGACGGGUGAGUAAUGUCUGGGAAACUGCCUGAUGGAGGGGGAUAACUAAUGGAAACGGUAGCUAAUACCGCAUACCAUCGGAUGUGCCCAGAUGGGAUUAGCUAGUGGGUGGGGUAAAGGCUCACAGAGGCGACUAUCCCUAGCUGGUUUGAGAGGAUGACCAUCCACACUGGAACUGAGACACGGUCCAGACUCCUACGGGAGGCAGCAUUGGGGAAUAUUGCACAAUGGGCUCAAUCCUGAUGCAGCCAUGCCGCGUGUAUGAAGAAGGCCUUCGGGUUUUAAAGUACUUUCAGCGGGGAGGCGUUACCCGCAGAAGAAGCACCGGCUAACUCCGUGCCAGCCGCCGCGGUAAUUC